rnacentral:tRNA from 1 species
GGGCGUAAUUUGGGUGUAAAAAUUAUUCCAAUAAGCUGAAAUGCUUAUAUAAUAAGGAUUCUAUAUAGCCUUCCAAGCUAUUAAUGCGGGUUCGAUUCCCGCCGCCCGCU